rnacentral:rRNA from 1 species
AGAGUUUGAUCCUGGCUCAGGACGAACGCUGGCGGUGUGCUUCACACAUGCAAGUCGAACGGAGUAGCAAUACUCAGUGGCGGACGGGUGAGUAACACGUGGGAAUCUACCAUUAGGUGGGGAAUAACAGGCCGAAAGGACUGCUAAUGCCGCAUAUGUAGGCAUCUCGACAGAGAUGUUUAUGAAAGGAGUAAUCCGCCUUUUGAUGAGCCCGCGUCCGAUUAGCUAGUUGGUAGGGUAAAAGCCUACCAAGGCGACGAUCGGUAGGUGGUCUGAGAGGAUGAUCACCCACAAUGGGACUGAGACACGGCCCAUACUCCUACGGGAGGCAGCAGUGGGGAAUUUUACGCAAUGGGGGAAACCCUGACGUAGCGACACCGCGUGAGCGAAGAAGCCCUUUGGGGUGUAAAGCUCUGUCAACAGGAACGAAACAAAUGACGGUACCUGUGGAGGAAGCAUCGGCUAACUACGUGCCAGCAGCCGCGGUAAGACGUAGGAUGCAAGCGUUGUCCGGAUUUAUUGGGCGUAAAGAGUUCGUAGGCGGUUUGUUAAGUCUGAUGUUAAAGACCGGGGCUCAACCUCGGAAAUGCACUGGAUACUGGCAGACUGGAGUGCAGUAGAGGCUAGUGGAAUUCCCAGUGUAGCGGUGAAAUGCGUAGA